UACGUAGGUGGCAAGCGUUGUCCGGAUUUACUGGGCGUAAAGAGCGCGCAGGCGGUCGUUCAAGUCGCGUGUGAAAGCCCCCGGCUCAACUGGGGAGGGUCACGCGAUACUGAUCGACUCGAAGGCAGGAGAGGGAAGUGGAAUUCCCGGUGUAGUGGUGAAAUGCGUAGAUAUCGGGAGGAACACCAGUGGCGAAGGCGACUUCCUGGCCUGUUCUUGACGCUGAGGAACGAAAGCGUGGGGAGCGAACAGG
rnacentral:rRNA from 1 species